UUUCCGUAGGUGAACCUGCGGAAGGAUCAUUACAGAAUUAAGACUCGCAAGAGUCGAAAUUCCCACCCUUGCCUAUCUUGACUUGUAUCGGCGGUCACACGCCGGUAGACUUAAACUCGUUAACAUCUGUCUUAACCAUAUUCAAUUAUCAAAACUUUCAACAACGGAUCUCUUGGUUCGGGCAUCGAUGAAGAACGCAGC
rnacentral:misc_RNA from 1 species